AGAACGAACGCUGGCGGCAGGCCUAACACAUGCAAGUCGAACGCUCCGCAAGGAGAGUGGCAGACGGGUGAGUAACGCGUGGGAAUUUCCCCCAAGGUUCGGAAUAACUGAGGGAAACUUCAGCUAAUACCGAAUGGUACCGAGAGGUUAAAGAUUUAUCGCCUUGGGAUGAGCCCGCGUUGGAUUAGCUAGUUGGUAGGUAACGGCCUACCAAGGCUUUGAUCCAUAGCUGGUCUGAGAGGACACCAGCCACACUGGGACUGAGACACGGCCCAGACUCCUACGGGAGCAGCAGUGGGGAAUCGUUGGACAAUGGGCGCAAGCCUGAUCCGAGCCAUGCCGCGUGGCGAUGAAGGUCUUCGGAUUGUAAACGUCCCUUUUGGGCGGGACGAGUAAUGACGGUACCCGCGAGAA
rnacentral:rRNA from 1 species